UACAGAGGGGGCAAGCGUUAUUCGGAAUUAUUGGGCGUAAAGGGCGCGUAGGCGGCCUGGCAAGUGGAAGGUGAAAUCCCUCGGCUUAACCGAGGAAUUGCCCUCCAAACUGCUUGGCUUGAGUCCGGGAGAGGUGAGUGGAAUUCCCAGUGUAGCGGUGAAAUGCGUAGAUAUUGGGAGGAACACCAGUGGCGAAGGCGGCUCACUGGACCGGAACUGACGCUGAGGCGCGAAAGCGUGGGGAGCAAACAGG
rnacentral:rRNA from 1 species